CAGAACGAACGCUGGCGGCAGGCCUUAACACAUGCAAGUCGAACGGAUCCUUCGGGAUUAGUGGCAGACGGGUGAGUAACGCGUGGGAAGCUACCUUGUGGUAGGGAACAACAGUUGGAAACGACUGCUAAUACCCUAUGAGCCCUAUGGGGGAAAGAUUUAUCGCCAUGAGAUGUGCCCGCGUUAGAUUAGCUAGUUGGUAAGGUAAUGGCUUACCAAGGCGACGAUCUAUAGCUGGUCUGAGAGGAUGAUCAGCCACACUGGGACUGAGACACGGCCCAGACUCCUACGGGAGGCAGCAGUGGGGAAUAUUGGACAAUGGGGGCAACCCUGAUCCAGCCAUGCCGCGUGUGUGAUGACGGCCUUAGGGUUGUAAAGCACUUUCAGCAGUGAAGAUAAUGACAUUAACUGCAGAAGAAGCCCCGGCUAACUUCGUGCCAGCAGCCGCGGUAAUACGAAGGGGGCUAGCGUUGUUCGGAAUCACUGGGCGUAAAGCGUACGUAGGCGGACUGAUCAGUCAGGGGUGAAAUCCCGGGGCUCAACCCCGGAACUGCCUUUGAUACUGUCAGUCUUGAGAUCGAGAGAGGUGAGUGGAACUCCGAGUG
rnacentral:rRNA from 1 species